AGGUGGGUGGUGAACAUGGCUGCAGUACCUGCUUCCUGCCUUGGCCUUUGGGAGGACUGAAGAGUUUCUGUUCAGAGAAGUAAGAUUAUGACUGAAUAGAAAUAACACUAGAGUAUAAUUUUCAAACAGUAGAAGUUGUUGACUCAUAAUUAUUUUCAAAUUAAUAAAUAUCUUUGUAACUAUUUUAAUAAAAUUUGUAUUUUUAAAAUGUGGAAAGUAUAGGUAAUUAGAAAAAAAAUCCAAAAUACAAUUGUAUAUAACGAUUUGCUACAUUUCCUGCUAGCUUUUUUAAUGUGUGAAUUAGUUUCCUUUUUUACCCCCUCCCCUAACAUGAUUGUACUCACAAUGAUUACUGCAAUUUGCUAGCCUCUUUUCACUUAACAUUAUACUAUAAGCAUGAUUCUCUUCGCUAUACAAUCUCUGGAAAGGCAGUGUGAUGAUGAGAUGAAGACAUCUAAGGAACAAGACCUGGGUUCCAGACCUGGCUCUGCCACUUACCUUGAACUAGAUACUCAACACCUCAAAGAAUCCAGAAAGUGAUGGAGUGGAACCAAUGCUGCUUGCUGGGUGUUUGCUGAACCUGAAAAUGAUUGAAUAUGACUUAACCGCUAAGACAUGGACAAUUGUCCUUUGAUUCUGAGCUUCUAGGCAUGGAAGAACCACACAGAACCUUCAAAGCAACUUGAGAUGGCUCCUGCAUCAUAGUAUAUCCAAUCAAGAAUUACAGUUUCAGAUCCCUGCUGCUCAAAAGUACAGACCAGGGACUUGGAGUCCCAGCACCAUACAGAGCUUGUACAAGUGCAGUAUCUCAGCAGGCUCCAAGGCUACUGAUCAGAAGCUAACCUUCAACAAGACCUCCUUAGGCCACCUAGCAAUGAACCGUUGCUUCAGAAGCCUUGAGGGUAGGGCUAGUUGGCAUAGAGAAGAAAAGAUCCAAGCAGGGCUGGGGAGGUAGCUCAGUGGAAAAGUGCUUGCCUAGUAUGUCUGAGACUGGGUUACAUCCCAGCACUGGGAAGAAGGGGAUGGGAGGUUUUGAGAGCUGGUUGGGGGGCAGUUUAGAGGGCAGGAGUGAGCUGGGAAGGGGGUUCCUAGAAAGACCUGCACCAAAGAUGGCUCAUACCUCACAGAGUGUCAGUCUAGCCCAGUUCUUGGGAAGAUACACUGUAGUCAGAUCUCAUUCUACUUGUUCCUGGGGAAAUACAUUGUAUUCUUUUCUUUGACAGUACUAGGGGGUUGAACCCAGGGCCUUGUGAAUGCUAAUGCUCCACCACUUGCACUCCAGUCCUAGGGACUGAAGGAAGGGCCUGGCGGAUGCUAGACAAUUGCUUUACCAAUGAUCUACAUUUCUAGCCCCUUUUAAAUUCUGAAAUAAAGUCUUCCUAAAUUGCCCAGGUUGGGCUUACACUCAAAAUCCUCCUGCCUUAGCCUCCUGAGUAGCUGGGACUUCAGACAUGUGCCACUAUACUUGGCCUAACACUGUACUGUAUCUGCUAAUCCAGGUAGUUAUCAUUCCAUAGGACUGUCUUAAUGGUGACAUGAGUAGGCUAUGACCCACAUCCACCUGUCACUCAGCCAUGUCAGACCACAAUUUUAAAAACUUGAAUUUUAACCUGAGGCUCUGGAAAAUAAUGUAUUAGUGAAUAAUAAUAAAAAAAAUCUGCAUGACAGAAAAGGCAAGGGCAGAAAGAGGCCAGAGGGGAAAUAACAGAUUGGCCACUUAAAUAGAUACAGACUGUGGGCUGAGGGCACCUGAACCAAGCACUGGUACAGCAGGGCUUGCCUAGCCCACGGGUCCAUGAGAUUCAUGGCUCCCAGGAAAAGGAGGAAGAAAGUGCAGGAAGCCUAGAAGGCAUGGUAGAAAAGCUUAGUUUAUGACCAUGAAUAAGUAAUACAGUGGUUUUUGUCUUCCUUUGGUUUUGGGGUUGUUUUUUUGUUUGUUUGUUUGUUUUGGU